rnacentral:sRNA from 2 species
CAUGCACCUCGCUAGGUGAGGCGUCCGCUCGGAUACAGGCCACUGACCUCGAACGUCGAAAGACGCCCAGGGUCAGGACAGCUCUUCCCGGCUUAAGGGUUGAGCCCAAGUGGCUUCCGGCUUGAUAAGCCGGAUACGCCGUCCGGUGCCAAAGCUCUGACGAGAGGGGUGCCGC